CUUAAAACACCGGGUUCCGUACGAUCACCGAAGUUAAGCAACGUCGAGUCUGAUCAGUACCAAGAUUGUGACCGUUUGACAAUACCAAGUACUGUAAG